rnacentral:rRNA from 1 species
GGGUUGUGAGGUUAAGCGACUAAGCGUACACGGUGGAUGCCCUGGCAGUCAGAGGCGAUGAAGGACGUGCUAAUCUGCGAAAAGCGUCGGUAAGGUGAUAUGAACCGUUAUAGCCGGCGAUGUCCGAAUGGGGAAACCCAGUGCAAUUCGUUGCACUAUCGUUAACUGAAUACAUAGGUUAACGAGGCGAACCGGGGGAACUGAAACAUCUAAGUACCCCGAGGAAAAGAAAUCAACCGAGAUUCCCCCAGUAGCGGCGAGCGAACGGGGAGCAGCCCAGAGUCUGAAUCAGCUUGUGUGUUAGUGGAACGGUCUGGAAAGUCCGACGGUACAGGGUGAUAGUCCCGUACACCAAAAUGCACAGGUUGUGAACUCGAAGAGUAGGGCGGGACACGUGGUAUCCUGUCUGAAUAUGGGGGGACCAUCCUCCAAGGCUAAAUACUCCUGACUGACCGAUAGUGAACCAGUACCGUGAGGGAAAGGCGAAAAGAACCCCGGCGAGGGGAGUGAAAAAGAACCUGAAACCGUGUACGUACAAGCAGUGGGAGCACCUUCGGGUGUGACUGCGUACCUUUUGUAUAAUGGGUCAGCGACUUAUAUUCUGUAGCAAGGUUAACCGUAUAGGGGAGCCGCAGGGAAACCGAGUCUUAACUGGGCGUUAAGUUGCAGGGUAUAGACCCGAAACCCGGUGAUCUAGCCAUGGGCAGGUUGAAGGUUGGGUAACACUAACUGGAGGACCGAACCGACUAAUGUUGAAAAAUUAGCGGAUGACUUGUGGCUGGGGGUGAAAGGCCAAUCAAACCGGGAGAUAGCUGGUUCUCCCCGAAAGCUAUUUAGGUAGCGCCUCGUGAACUCAUCUUCGGGGGUAGAGCACUGUUUCGGCUAGGGGGUCAUCCCGACUUACCAACCCGAUGCAAACUACGAAUACCGAAGAAUGUUAUCACGGGAGACACACGGCGGGUGCUAACGUCCGUCGUGAAGAGGGAAACAACCCAGACCGCCAGCUAAGGUCCCAAAGUCAUGGUUAAGUGGGAAACGAUGUGGGAAGGCACAGACAGCCAGGAUGUUGGCUUAGAAGCAGCCAUCAUUUAAAGAAAGCGUAAUAGCUCACUGGUCGAGUCGGCCUGCGCGGAAGAUGUAACGGGGCUAAACCAUGCACCGAAGCUGCGGCAGCGACACUAUGUGUUGUUGGGUAGGGGAGCGUUCUGUAAGCCUGCGAAGGUGUGCUGUGAGGGUUGCUGGAGGUAUCAGAAGUGCGAAUGCUGACAUAAGUAACGAUAAAGCGGGUGAAAAGCCCGCUCGCCGGAAGACCAAGGGUUCCUGUCCAACGUUAAUCGGGGCAGGGUGAGUCGACCCCUAAGGCGAGGCCGAAAGGCGUAGUCGAUGGGAAACAGGUUAAUAUUCCUGUACUUGGUGUUACUGCGAAGGGGGGACGGAGAAGGCUAUGUUAGCCGGGCGACGGUUGUCCCGGUUUAAGCAUGUAGGCUGGUUGUCCAGGCAAAUCCGGAUAAUCAAGGCUGAGGUGUGAUGACGAGGCACUACGGUGCUGAAGUAACAAAUGCCCUGCUUCCAGGAAAAGCCUCUAAGCAUCAGGUAACAUCAAAUCGUACCCCAAACCGACACAGGUGGUCAGGUAGAGAAUACCAAGGCGCUUGAGAGAACUCGGGUGAAGGAACUAGGCAAAAUGGUGCCGUAACUUCGGGAGAAGGCACGCUGGUGUGUAGGUGAAGUCCCUGCGGAUGGAGCUGAGACCAGUCGAAGAUACCAGCUGGCUGCAACUGUUUAUUAAAAACACAGCACUGUGCAAACACGAAAGUGGACGUAUACGGUGUGACGCCUGCCCGGUGCCGGAAGGUUAAUUGAUGGGGUUAUCCGUAAGGAGAAGCUCUUGAUCGAAGCCCCGGUAAACGGCGGCCGUAACUAUAACGGUCCUAAGGUAGCGAAAUUCCUUGUCGGGUAAGUUCCGACCUGCACGAAUGGCGUAAUGAUGGCCAGGCUGUCUCCACCCGAGACUCAGUGAAAUUGAACUCGCUGUGAAGAUGCAGUGUACCCGCGGCAAGACGGAAAGACCCCGUGAACCUUUACUAUAGCUUGACACUGAACAUUGAGCCUUGAUGUGUAGGAUAGGUGGGAGGCUUUGAAGCGUGGACGCCAGUCUGCGUGGAGCCAACCUUGAAAUACCACCCUUUAAUGUUUGAUGUUCUAACGUUGGCCCCUUACCGGGGUUGCGGACAGUGUCUGGUGGGUAGUUUGACUGGGGCGGUCUCCUCCCAAAGCGUAACGGAGGAGCACGAAGGUUAGCUAAUCCUGGUCGGACAUCAGGAGGUUAGUGCAAUGGCAUAAGCUAGCUUGACUGCGAGCGUGACGGCGCGAGCAGGUGCGAAAGCAGGUCAUAGUGAUCCGGUGGUUCUGAAUGGAAGGGCCAUCGCUCAACGGAUAAAAGGUACUCCGGGGAUAACAGGCUGAUACCGCCCAAGAGUUCAUAUCGACGGCGGUGUUUGGCACCUCGAUGUCGGCUCAUCACAUCCUGGGGCUGAAGUAGGUCCCAAGGGUAUGGCUGUUCGCCAUUUAAAGUGGUACGCGAGCUGGGUUUAGAACGUCGUGAGACAGUUCGGUCCCUAUCUGCCGUGGGCGCUGGAGAAUUGAGGGGGGCUGCUCCUAGUACGAGAGGACCGGAGUGGACGCAUCACUGGUGUUCGGGUUGUCAUGCCAAUGGCACUGCCCGGUAGCUAAAUGCGGAAGAGAUAAGUGCUGAAAGCAUCUAAGCACGAAACUUGCCCCGAGAUGAGUUCUCCCUGAGACUUUAAGUCUCCUGAAGGAACGUUAAAGACGAUGACGUUGAUAGGCCGGGUGUGUAAGCGCAGCGAUGCGUUGAGCUAACCGGUACUAAUGAACCGUGAGGCUUAACCUUACAACGCCGAAG